GCGAGAAACGGCUCCGGUUACUAGAGUUUUUCCUUACCAGUUCUUGCAACUCACAGUCAGUGUGACACCUCACACGUGGAAAGACACAGAACUGACCUAGAGACUGACUUUAUUCUACGGAUUGCAAUGGAGAGACCACCCCAGGUCUGAAGAGCAGACUGUGUCAGCAGGGUGGCUUUGCAUUGGACUUGAGAGAGAUUAAUAGACAGUGCUACUGUGGGAAACAUUCGGGGGAGGGGGGAGUCUAAUCAACUGAACAGGAAAUGUUUGUCUUUGUGACUAGCUGGUUUCAGGAGGGCUGACUUUGAAUCUCAGUUACGAUUCAUGAGACAGAAAACACGGAGCUGAGGGUCUGUGUCUGACCUUUAAGGACUCGGAGGAAGGUCUGUGUUUGGCCUGCUAGCAGGGUACACCCAUGGGACACCUGAGAGGCUUAUGGCAAAUAGGACAAAGAGUGGACCGCAAGCCUUACCUAAGUCCUAAAGGGAAGGCCGGUCUUUGCUGGUAAGCCACUUCGGGAACACAGAAGUCUGCAGAGAUGUCUUUUCUGUGGCUCUUUCGGGGCUCAGGUGAAGUUCAGCCUUGUCAAAUGGUAAAGAUGAGCCAGGCAUCUUUCGUGCCUGUCCAAGCAGAUAUGUGGAUAAGAAGAGAGGGUCCCUUCUUACCCUGGAAGUCAUCGACACUUGAACAACACUUUAUAGUUGGCAAUACAUGAUGCACAGUGGCCACACGGAGAGGAGACACAAAGCAGAUAUGUAAAGCCCAGCAGACAUGCGUACAGGUAGAGACGUUGCCAUUGUACCUAGGGGGUAACUGACAGUCAAACGGUACUUUGUGGUGUAAAAGAAAAUUCCCCUAGACUAAAUUAAUGACACAGAAAGCAGUUUUCUUCAUCAUCAGACUCAUUCUCCUCUCACUGAUGAGGUGUCUUGGGCACAGAGAGGUUAGGUCAGCUCCCCCACGUCAUUCAGGUCAUACUUGUUUGAAUCCCAAAGGCAAGGAACAUUCAGCCCGUCCAAACUAAGCCAUCCACCCCGAGUCCCUACACACAUCUGCACCUCCUCUAGUGUUUGCCUGACUCAGUGCAAGGCAGCCUUCUCCCCGGCUGCUUUGGCCAGAGAUCCUUACAGUCAUCUGUGCCUGCCGCCUCUGUCUCACCAUCCCCUCGGGCACCAAGCCCCGCCUUUCUGCUCCUAAGUCUAGGCAAGAUCUUGCCACUUCUCUCCAUCACCACAGUGAGAUCCCUAGUCCAGGUCACCCUCAGCUCUACCCUGCACGACCACCACCAAUCCUGAUCCUUUGCCACCCUUUUUCCAUUCCACUGCCCGAGGAACCUUUCUGAAGUCCUAAUCUAGGAACGCCACACCUGUUCAAACCUCUGUGGGGGCUGUCCGCUGCUCUAGGGAUAGUGUCCGGCCUCCUGGACUAGGCACAUCAGGAGUCGCGUGCCCCUGAGUGCCUGAUCCUCACCGGACCCCUCCUGCUCCAUUCCCCCCACUUGACAUUCCAACCACCCCAAACCCCUUUCUGUACCUCACAUGGCCAGUGUGCUCACAAUCGUUCCUGCUGACCACUCCCAGACUGCACAUCCUCACAGGUGCUGUUCCCGCCAUCCUCAUCUGCUGGUUUCCUUCUUCGGUUCGGUGUCACGUUGGGUGGUGCAAUUUCCAUUUUACCUGGGCCGCACCUGGAUGAGAAGUCAGUUAACUCCUACUUUUAUAGAAUGGGAUGUGGUGGGGAUUUCUUGUUGAAUUCCCCAAAUCAAAACAAGGUUUACUGUGGUUCACAGUGAGCUGAGCUGAAAUGCAAUCUGAUGCCUGCCUUUUUUGGGAAAAGCUUCCUUGCUAAUAAGCACAGGGGACAGAUGGCAAAGGUCUCUCUGCUUAUUGUAUUUGGGCCCACUUUUGCCUUUGAACAUGGACUUUGGAAUCAGAUCACAAUUUUGGAACUAUCAAUGGAUCCAGGGUGAUCACCUGCCUGACAGUGAGGAGGGAUAACCCAGAACAUGGGAGAUACCUGUCACUUUAUGGUGUCUGUGACCCAGUAAAUGGAACAGGCCCGAUCUGCUCUGCCCAUGGACUUUGUUUUGAUGACACGUUCACUAUUUCCCACUCGAUUUUAUAGUCGGAGUUCUCUGUUAGGACAACAGAAAGUACAGUAACUUUCCUCUCUUUGCAGUGGAGCUGAUUUUCUAGUUCUUGGGGCCCUGAGGGUGGCAGGGAUCAGCUGCCUGCUCAGGAUGGGGGGACCCUCCAAGGUCAUGUGCCAGUGCCUUCCUGCAGCUCCUCAGGUGUCUGCACAGGGUGCUGUCAACCCCUGGAGGCACCCAGACGAUCCAGUUCCUAGAAGGUCCGGGAGAGAGAGUGUGUAGGUUCUACCAGCUACACACUCAGCUGUGAGGAUCCCCUUCAUUCACUACAACUCCUCUAAGCAGAACACACCUAAGUAUGAAAUGAAGCGUGUGUCUCUGAUACGUAAGGUCAAAGAAAAAGAUGGAAAUGGCACCACCCCCCCUACCCCACAGCCACCCCAGUCAGAGGGUGGAGUAGACUCCUGGGGCCGUGGCCUGGAUCCCUCCACACUGAUGUGUCCCUAACAGGGGUGCAGUGUAAACGGCUCUUCCUCAAGCCUGGCUCUUGAGCUCAUGUGAGCAGGGCAGACACGGUUUUAUUUCCCCAAGGGCCAGAGAGGUAAGUAUCAACCCACCGCCUUCCACAGACAAGGAAAUAAGCUCAAAGAGGUUAAGUCGCUGAUGCAGUGGAGGGUGGAUCUGGGAGUCACGCCCCGGGUCUGUCAGACUCCUGAGCCAGUCUUCUUUGCCGUCACUUCACAACAAACUUGGUUUGGGUUUUUGUUGCUGAGAUGCAGAUACUGUUCCAUGAUGGGACAGUCACUGUUGUCCCAGUACCGUGUCCACCGGUGACGUCCAGGCACCCAGCAGGGCAAAGGCACCGUGAACGGCUCUCAGACCCUCUCUGUGUCGCCUUCAGGGGAGCUGCUCUGAAGCCCAGAGACCCGGAGUCCACUGGUGGGAAGGGCCUGCCUCAGAGCCAACAGGCAGGCAGGACGUUGACUUUCCCUGCAGGGAGGCACUGCACCAUGCCAGAGAGGCUUUGCCAUCACCCCCCAGGCCCGGUUACGGCCCAGUUAGGACUCGACCCGUCUCCCUCUGUUUAGCAGAUACUAGGAAUUGAGAGGCGAGCAGAGGCAGAGGAGGUGCUUUCAGUGGCUGCAUGGCCUCUCGGGAGGUGACCCAGCCGCCAUGGUGGUCUGGAGCCCAAAGACUGAGAAUGGAAAAUGGCUGCACUGGUUUUGCUGUCGGUGCCCUUCAGCCUGUGUGUCUGUAAACUGGAAGAUCACGGUGCCUCCCUCAGGAACCUCCCCACCCUUGAGAAGUGUGUCUUGACCAAACACCCACAACCCCUCCCCCUGAUACUUUGGCAGGGGUCAGUGCCCUCCUCUGUGUUCCUAGGUUUCUAGGACUUAAAUCCCGCCAUCACUCACACAACAGGUGGCUGUCAUCUGCUUGCAGGUUCCAGCCCACAUCAUCCCUACAUCCCCAAACUAGGCCCAGGAGGCUGAGAUGUAGUGUCUUGGCGGUGCUGAGACUGUUUCCUCAAUGAACAAAGGACCCUGACUCCAGGUCUAUUGUUAAUAAAAGGCGGCUCUUCUUGAGCCAGUUAUUUCUGCGUAAAAAUGACCCAGGAGAAUGGGGUAACGAGGACAUCUGUGGAGUCAGUCUCUUCCCUGUGAGGGGAGGAGGACUGCAUCUGUCAUACCCGCCUCUUUCCGGAAACUCCUAAUACACGCGGCCACAAUGCCUACUACACACGUGUGUGUCACUCUGGUACCUCCACUGCCCGCAGUUCUGCCCUCACAGUUGAACCUGGGUCACGAUGCUUGGAGCAACUGUACUGAAUGUUUCCUAAGCAUCAAGCGGCCAGUGCUCAGCGUGGGUGUUGCAAGCAUGUAGCCAGUGGAUGGGCUGUUGAAUGAACCUGGCCAAGGCAGAUCUGGUGGGAAUGCUGGGAGAAGCUGCCACAGAAGCAGCCACGUUGAAAAAAAGGCUGGAGAGCUUUUUUCCCUUCUUGCCUCGCUCGGGUUUAUCUGAAGCUUUCUCCGUCCCAGAAACAGAUUUGUGUCCUCCCAGUUGUAGGAGAGAGCAAGUCAAACUUUUAACAUUUUUGGCUGACACGAAGGUCACCUUUCCAAGGCCUGGACACACACCCCCCCCCCCCCCCCCCCCGCCUGGGCCUAGAGGAAAUAACAAACACCAAAGUCCGGUGCUCAUGACAGGUACCCCCUCACAUCAGGCAGCUCAGCAAAGCAGCCCAGGGAUGCAGUGAGCUAACCCUCUGAUGCGGGAUUUCUUGGUCCUCUUUUUGGCCACACGCAUUGCACAUGGAAUCUCCCAGGCAGGGAUUAAACCCUUGCCGCAGCUGUAUCCAGAGGCACAGCAGUGACACCACCAGAGCCUUAACCCGCUGAGCAACCAGGGAACUUCUGGAUCUUUUCCUUUUAACUUAGUAAGGAACGGUUACCUCUCACACCCGUCAGUGGCUCAGUGCUGCUCUAUAGCAUGGGUACAUCCAUAGUCACCGAGCAUGAAAGGAUCAUCAUCCUACCGCUUCGUCCACCCUUCAAACGAGGCUUUCACUGCAUAUCAAUGAGGCAGGAGCUCACUGGUGAAUCUCAUGGCUGCCCCCACUGUUUCAGACGUCCAAAACCACUCUUGCUUUUGGUGAAUCCCUAGGAGGGCUCACAGGACCCAGCAUACAGUCAUCCCCAUGGCUAGGAAUCAGUACUGCAAAAGGAUAGAAAGACAAACAGCCAGGGGGAGUGGUGCACUGGGCAUCAUCCAGAGGAAACCAGCGUACGCUUUCGAGAGUCCUUUCUCCCUAGAGUCACACAAUCUGUCCCUCCAGCAACGAGCCAUGACAGCUCCUUCAAACACUGUCUGCCAGAGAAGCUCAUGAGAAACCCAGGGCCCAAGCUUUUAACUGGGGACUGGUCCCUCGCACACUCUCUGCCCAGCACGUACCAGGAUUCCAGGGUCCCGGGAGGCAAGCAGGCGUUUAGCAUCGAACAUAUUGUUUGGACAGUUUCGGAAGAGGAACCUACCCUUCUCGGGGAGGGAACGGUGGGAAACCACCUGAAAUCCAAGUUCCCGGAUGCAAGGUAAGGUCAACAAGCUACAGUUUCUAAGGAUUAUCGGCUCCAGCCUGCUACGUUAUAUAUAUGCAUAUAUAUGUGAGUGAAAUAAGUCAGAGAGAAAGACAAAUAAUGCAUGUUCUCUCUUACAUGUGAAAUCUGAAAACGUCUAGGUUACAGAAAUAGAGUUUAUUUAUUUAUCUUUGAUAGGCAAGAAAUAGAUUUAUUAAGAUAGGACGCUUAUGAGAGAUGUAAGCAGGCAGGCAUGGAAGCUCUACCAGAAGUAGAUUUUGGAAGGGUGCUUGCGAGGGGCUGGGGGAAAUGGUGGUAAAAGGGUACAAACUUCUAGCUAUAAGAUGAAUAAGUUAUGGGGAUCUAACGUAGAGCAUGGUGACGAUACUUAAUAUUGUAUUAUGUACUGAAAAUUAAGUGGCGCAGUGAGUUAAGGAUCCAGUGUUUUCACUGCCAUGGCUCGGGUGGCUGCUGUGGAGUGGGGUCGAGCCCUGGCCCAGGAACGUCCGCUUGCUUCAGGAGCAGCCCAAAACAAAACAAAACAAACAAAUAAAUGAACUAAAACACAAAGAAACAGAGCAA
rnacentral:lncRNA from 1 species